rnacentral:misc_RNA from 1 species
CUGGGUCUGGGCUCCGUGCCCGCUACCCGCCCUUUGUCAUGAGACGCGAAAGCAACUCACAUCGCUUCGGCCACGGGCGAUGCCCCCCGUUCAUUCGCGGGGUGGACCCGCGGCCGGCCUCACAAACCCACGCGAAUUUUGAGGUCUGAUCAAACGAAAAACGAAAAGCA